rnacentral:lncRNA from 1 species
CAUCGCUGCACGGUUCCCGCGUCUGCGGCGGGAACGGCGCCAGCGGCACACUGGUGCGACACCUGGAGCUUUCCUGAUGUGUGUGUUCGCACACGUGGACAGAACUGUACCGCGUGCCAUCAUCUCGAGUCAGUCCCUGCGAGAGCCUGAAUGGGUCGCAAUCGAGUCUGCACAACGCCGCGUCGACUCAGUCCAGUAACAAAAAGAGUUAAGCACAGCAGGGGUUCGAGGGGAAGAGCCAAGAGACGUACCACCCGCAAUGUGCAUCGGAGCGCUGAGCAGCACACAAGAGACACAGGGAUUUUUCAGGGUGGUCGCAGAGAAACAACAACCAAUUCCAACAGAAAGUCGGUUCUGAAAUCCGGCAUAAAGUCCACCUGGCUCAAAUUGCCCACAUUGACAAUCGGCUGUUUAGAUGGCUUAUAUGGAACAAAAUCCAAUGUGAAUCUUCAUUUUGCCUCACAUGACAACACACAAACAUAGAACGGUAGAGGUUGCGGAAUUCAUCCAGGAACACACGGAAAGCAUUGACAGCCAUGCCUAAAAGUAGCCAUACAGCCCUCACCUUUUUGACAAGAAAGGAGUCCAGGUUCGUGAGUUCUGAAACAUCUGUGAUGAGGAUGUCCCCUGG